rnacentral:lncRNA from 1 species
UGUGCUUACAGAUGUCUACGUGCUUGCAUUUCUAUUUUUGCAAUCCUUCCAGGUAGGUCCUAUUAUGAUCCUCAUUUAACAGAAGAAGAAACUAGGGGUCAGAGUGAUUGAGUAGAUCUUCUAAGGUCACAUAGCCAGAAAACAGCAAAGCCACACCAUGUUUUUAACAGCGAAGACAGAGUCUCAAGAAACAGGUAUCUGACACGUAAACAGUGAGAGCAUGUCUGACGCCGCAGAUCCAGGCCAUGAAGGCCCUUGAGAAGUCCCGUGACAGCAUUCAUGAGCAAAGCGGUCUAAGAAGAAUGUGAAGAAUACCAGGUAGUGAAGACUGUAAUUUCACGGAAACACCCCCCAGCCUCGCAGGAAGAACCAGGAUUCUCCUGAGGAUUAAAUGGGCUGGCAUUCAUAAAGCUCCUAAGACCUGCUUGGUGCUUGAGCAGAAGUCAGAUGUGCCAAUUCGUGGUUUACAUGGAAUACCUCCAUUCCUGCCUAUCCUCCUGUUUCUACCUGCUGCCACUGGAAGGGUUGCUUGGAGCUUUGCGAUAAUCUUUACUUUCAGCCAGGGAGAAAGGAGAAAGCUGCCCAAGGCAGGGAGUGCUUGGGGGAGCAUCCUGUAGGAAUGCACUCUGUGGACCUUGCUCAGUUCAGACCAACAGGUGUUCAUUGCAUUCCAGGCCUGUUUGCUUCCAGGAAUGCACAGGAGUGAGGCCUCAGGAUUCAAGACUUCUGGAUGUUGUUUCACUUAUAUAUUUUUCACUUUAGGAUAAUGCAUUUACUGGGAAAAAUAAACAAUUGUAGCUCAAGGCUGAGGCCCAGAUGAAGUGCGGGAUCCCUGGCAAGAGUGUAGCCCCGCGUGCACGUGCCCUCCCUGUGCUGUUUUGGUGGGGAGGGCAGCUCACAGGGCUCACGGGAAAGGAAGCAAGCAUGUUAGAGGUGGCUGCAUUGUAAGAGUAAAUUCCAUCUGAUUUACAAAGUCCUCAGAGCAGCUCCCUGUGGCUCUGGCAGCUAACUGAUCCAGUUAAUGGAAAGGGCGUGGCCUUGUGCCUGGCUUCUGAUGUGCCCUCGCUGUAAUCCCACCCGCGCCAUGGUCUAGCCACACUGGGCGGCCUCUCCCUGCUCGCUCCUCUCCUCUGCUUUCGUCUGCUGGGACUUCUCCCACGGCUGCACCACGUUAGGGCCUGCUGGGUGGCCGCAUGGGAUGCAUUUUCUACCACAGAUGGCCAUGGCUGAGGGCAGAUGGGCCUCCUGAAGGUAGGUCCAUCCCGGCUGCAGUGGACGCAGGGCUCCCGAGAAACUCAGUUGCUGAGAAGUGUCGUUUUCCAAUCAGCUAGCCUAGACUGCACCCGUGGAUUUUAACGCUUUCUUUGCUGUCAGAGCCUAGGCAAAGGUUCCUGCGAAAUUUCUGCCCUCAGGAAAUGAAGCCGUGUUUCUAGAGGGAGCUUGAACCUCUGAGCCUCACUUCACCUCUUUUGAUGUGUCUUUGUCAAACUCUGAAUACUCUUGAUUCAGAUGUCCAUAAAGUCAAGAAGAUGAUCACAAAAUAUAAAAAGCUGAUGAAUCUUUUGGAAAGUUAACAAUUUUCUUUAGGAGUUUUUCUCUUCCCUGUGUAAAAUGUUCCCCCCAGUUUGCCUCUUCAUGAUCCAUUCAGAGCUGUGUCAGGAGGGAGAUAAAGAAGCAGAAGGACCCAUGUGAAUUUCUCCCUGACGUUUCCAUGCCCUCCCUCCCAUUCAGACACGACCCCCUUUCAAGCGUUGCAAGCGGGAAGCAACCUACUGGUUAUGGGUAUUCUGAAAAUACUGUAGAAAAACAUAGUCCCAGAGGACACUCAGAGAGAAGCCGUAGAGCUAAGAGACCAGAUUCUAGUUCUGAUACUCUAAGUAGCUAUGCAACCUGUGGUUAAAAAAAAAUAAGAAAGAAACUCGACUAUAUUGACAAAUUACCAUGUGUCAGGCACUUUACAUGCAUUUUCUUAUUUAAUCCUCACAAGGUACUCCUAAGAAAGGUAAUUUUCUACUUACUUUGCAGAUAAACAAACUGUGAUUCAGAGUCUGUGAACUAUUCCAAGUUAACAUCAGUAGUAUGCAAAUAAAACAGAAAACUCAGACAUCAGUUUGGAUUUCAGGAUGAAAACAGACUGAAUUCGAACACGCCCCAGGCAAGGGGUCCA